rnacentral:rRNA from 1 species
GAUGAACGCUGGCGGCGUGCCUAAUACAUGCAAGUCGAGCGAACAGACGAGGAGCUUGCUCCUCUGACGUUAGCGGCGGACGGGUGAGUAACACGUGGAUAACCUACCUAUAAGACUGGGAUAACUUCGGGAAACCGGAGCUAAUACCGGAUAAUAUAUUGAACCGCAUGGUUCAAUAGUGAAAGACGGUUUUGCUGUCACUUAUAGAUGGAUACGCGCCGCAUUAGCUAGUUGGUAAGGUAACGGCUUACCAAGGCAACGAUGCGUAGCCGACCUGAGAGGGGGAUCGGCCACACUGGAACUGAGACAGGGUCCAGGGUCCUGCGAGAGGCAGCAGUCUGGAAUCUUCCGCAGUGGGGGAAAGCCUGACGGAGCAACGCCGAGUGAGUGAUGAAGGUCUUCGGAUCGUAAAACUCUGUUAUUAGGGAAGAACAAAUGUGUAAGUAACUAUGCACGUCUUGACGGUACCUAAUCAGAAAGCCACGGCUAACUACGUG